AACUAAGUUAGUUAUUGGUAUGAGCUUUCGUGUGCAUGCACACUUCUUCAGAGAGAAGGUAUAGAAGGUAUCUGAAGAAGUGUGCAUGCACAUGAAAGCUCAUACCAAUAACAAACUUAGUUGG
rnacentral:miRNA from 1 species